GCUACGUCACGUGGCUGUUCCUCUAGUUCUGCCAAGCGAAAGUGGAUGCAGAGCGCUAUUCGUCGGUGUUCUUUCAUGACAUUGAAUGUUUAUUUUGAAUUAUUAUAUGCGUUUCGAUUUAUAUGCUUAUCGAGAAUUUGAUUUAUAUUUACGAAAGUGUUGCAUUAUCACUGUAUCUGGAUCGCUCAAAACUGCCACAGCUGUCUGCUCUGGGAAGAAAGCGAAGAAAGCGGUGCUCAGAAACGCUAUGCCCGUGUGAACAAGAGAACCGGAAUCUCUGAUGUUUAAGAGGGAUAGGAUAAUAAACGUCAUAACUCGAGUGCUCUUAUGCAAGCUUACUGUUGAUGAGCAGAGUGGACCAACAGAUGGACCCUUUCAGGAGCCAACAGCUUGUGUUUCAUUAAGGCACCAAAAAGCACUGUGCUUGGGGUAGAAGAGUUGCAUGGAGUAUAGGCAGGGCGAAUAUUGCUAGGAAACUUUUAGUCCUAACCAAAAGAAGAAUAUCUGUAGGCUUCGACACAAAGUUGGGGUAAGCCUCUUGUAUGAAAGGUAAGAUGUCUCAAGAUCUGAUGGAAUCAGAUUAUUUGCCCCCAGUGAGAGCAGAUCAAAUUAAAACAGAAAGAGAAGAUGAAGAGUACUUCCUGGUUGAGCAACUCUCCAGUCAGAGUUGGGAUUCGGCAGACGAUGAACCCAAUGCAUGUUUCGACACGGACGAGGAAGACUCUUACUUGAAGCUUUGUUCUGACCAAAUAAAAAUUGAGAAUGAUGAACUGGAACGUGCAGGAUCUGAACAACAUUUUAUGGAAGGACCCGACAAAUGUACUGACUCACCAGAAAACACAACAGCGGACAAAUCCCGUAGAAGAGAUCUCACAGAGUCGGAGGCUGAGCAGUCUAACGGACUGCAAAGUCAGGCUGGAAUCAAAUGGUCGUGCCUGCGGUGCAAUAUGACGUUCGCUGAUGGAAGCUACCUGAAGACCCACGAGGAAACUCACAAAGCCGGGAAAGCGUACUCCUGUCCCGACUGCGGGAAGGGUUUCAAUCACAUAAGCAACAUGAAAAGACACCAGCUCAUCCACAGAGAUGAAAAGCCGCACUACUGUGCGGAAUGCGGGAAGGGCUUCAACAGAUUGAGUAGCUUAAAGGUGCACAAGCUUAAUCACACAGGGGAGAAAUUAUUUACAUGCUCAGAGUGCGGAAAGAGUUACAGUAUAAUGAAAUACUUGAAACUGCAUCAGCGAACACACUCUGGCGAGAGACCCUUCCCUUGCACCGAGUGUGGAAAGAGUUUUGGUCGUUUUAAUAACUUGAAAAGACAUCAGCUGAUUCACACUGGGGAGAAGCCCUUCUCUUGCCCUGAUUGUGAGAAGAGUUUCAAUCAGUUAAGUAGCUUGAAAACCCAUCGACUCAUUCACACAGGGGAGAGAAUGUUUUCCUGCACAGAGUGUGGCAAGCGCUUUACUCAUUUAAGGAACUUGAAAGACCACCUUCAGAUCCACAAAGGGGAGAAGCCGUACUCGUGCACGGAGUGCGGAAAGUGCUUCAAUCGAUUGGACAACUUCAAAUCGCACAAGCUAAUUCACACGGGGGAGCGGCCGUUCUCUUGCACGGAAUGCGAAAAGAGUUUCAACAAGUUGAGUAGCUUGAAAAGGCAUCGCGUCACUCACACGGGAGAGAAAAUGUAUUCUUGUCCAGACUGUGAGAAGAGGUUCAGUCAGCUGAGUAGCUUGAAAAGACAUUGCCUUAUUCAUAGGAGAGAAAUUGCAUUCUUGCACCGUGUGUGGGAAGAGCUGCAAUCGGUUAAGUAACGUGAAGGGGGAAGAAAUGCCUGCUUGUUGACAAAGGAUAGAUAUUUUCAGUGGAUUUUGAUAGCAUGCGUAAAGCAGGGUGCAAAGAGGGAAGUGAACCAAAUUUUCAACAAACACCUGGGCUUCUUCCCGAGACUGCCUCUCCCCUGAGUCUGUUGCUCAGUAUUUUUAUGAUUAUGCAAUUCAUAUGCCUUUGGUUACAAUACAACUGUGGUGUACCCAAUUUAUAUUAACCCAUGCGCUAUGAUGUUUGGUGUCAUAAAUGGGGAGAGGCAGCAUGAAAUGACUUGGUAUGGUAAUCACGAAAAAUGAUAAUAGUGGAUUUAAUGGUAUCAGGAUCGUCAUAUGAUAUCAGUUUGUGAGGUAAAUUUUAAUUUAAAUUAAAAAUGUAAAAUUACUUAUUUUUGAGUUUAUAAAAAUGUGUUGUUCUGGAAUCAAUCAAUAUUUUUAUUAAUACUUUGCUACCAUAGGAAUCCUUGGUCAUCAAAAGUGAUUUGUUUAAAACUGGAAGAGAAGGAUAAUACUUUCUUAACACUUAUGAAUGUAACAUAUUUGCAAUGCAGGCAAUGGUUUGUGGACCCUUUAUUUAAAUUUGGGGGAGAUAUUGGUUAUCUCAAUAUGUAUGGGAUGACAAUGAAGCUUUUCAUUACAGCUUUAAUUUGAAUAAAGUAAAUGGGCAGUUAUUUUGACUUUUGAGCACUCAAGAAUGUCAGAACCCGCCAAGUUAAGUUGCUGUAACAUGACACUUUCAUUAUUGUGCCCUCUUGAGGGGGUCUACUGUUAGCCUAUUACUCGCUAAGGUAUCUUGCAUACAUACAGAACCGUAAAGAAACAAAAAAAGUCAGCUCUUUCAGGUGAGAAUGGAUAAGGUUAGCAUGCGUCAUCUCAGACACCCAUAGGUGGCUCUGGUGGAACCAAAGAACUUCUCCACUAACCAUAAUAUUUAUUGUGGGGGGGGUGGGCGGGGGUAGGGGCUGGGGAGCAAAUGUGCCCCCACCCACCCCCUCCAAUAUCAAACUCACUCCUACGCCCCUGCCUGUAGGCUGUCAUUUGAACCCUAAUCUGGCACACCUGAUUCUACUAAUUAAAGCAGUAAAAUGACGAGAGAAGAUGGUAGGGAGGACGCCAUUUACAUUACAUUGCAAGCACGUAGCAGAUGCUCUCAUAUCUAGAGCGAUGUAAAAAAAUGUGGGCAACAUCACUGUCACUCAGGACUGUGGAAAUAUGGUGUCACAACAAGGCACAGAGGCAAACUUUUAAUCAGUACUUAAUGUAAACCUAAUAAAAAAAUGUGCAUUGUAACAAUAGAAGGUACGACUAGACAGGUAACCAUUAUUUACACAGGUGUACCUAUAACAUCCAAGUGGAAAUCCAGAGAAAGAAAGGAUAUCUAAAUGGAGUAGAGGGGGCCUUGAUUUCACAGUGUUCAGAUGGGGCCUAUGGCUCUCCAGAACCAGGGUGGGGGGAUCCCUGCUUUACAGUACCAAAAAGGUGAUGACACUGAUCUGUUUAGCCUCUGAGAUGGUGGGAGCUGUUUUCAUUUGUAAGCUGCAACAGAAAAGCCUACCGUUUCAUCACGACUGAGCAUCUUGCUGGAGAAGUGUAGCCUUCCAAUCAGUCCCUACAGUUCUCAGCAUUACCAUGAAGCAGAGGUGAAAAGUUCAGGGGGUCAAAAAAAGAAAAGUCCUGAUGUGUGUUUCUUCCACCAUGAACUCAGCCAGCUGAUCUCACUGACUAAUUAGUUCUACCUCCUGGCUGAUGAAUUGUGCUAAUUAUCAAAUCCAGGUGAUUGUACCAAAAACUGGGGAGAACUUUUACUUUCUGAACAUGGAUUUUCCACUGCUGCCAUGAAGUGCUGUCUACAUGAAGCAGUUGAUGUUCGGUGGCUUAGAAUUAGAACAGGGAUAGGUAAUUCAGGCUCUGGAGUGCUAGAGAAUUGUUACUGUAUUUUAUUUAAUUAUUUUUGCUGCAUUCAAUGCCCUAACUACAUAAUUAUAUGAAUUAUUGUGCUUGCUGACCACAGGUUACCAUAUACUAGUUGUACUCAGUAUUUCAUUUUUCAGACUGAAUAUUUAGGCUCCCUAUCGCUAAUUGAACAAGACCCAGAAACUUCUAGAACAGUGGUCUCCAACCCUGGUCCUGGAGAGCUACAGGGUCUGCUGGUUUUCAUAGUGACUCUGCACUUCAUGAAUCAAUUAGAGCAGUUGAUUACACAGUUAACUCAACUCACCUGGUGUCUUGGGUCUCAAGCGGAUGCUGAUUUUAAGGUAAAAACAAUAACCAGCAGACCCUAGUGCUCUCCAGGACCAGGGUUGGAGAACACUGCUCUAGAACUUCAGAACCAGGGUCUCGGGGCCUUCCCCAUGGUUUAGAACACCAUCGAGUGAAAGUCAGAGAAUUCAGAAUUUGACUUUGAUAAUCUUACAGGUGGCACUGCAUCCGAAGGACUUCCUGUCACCCCAGAAGGGUAUUGUCAGAAUAUAUUGCUUCGCGGUCAUCUGGAGCAGAACAAAAUGACCGACAGCUGCUGGAGUAACCACCCAACCCGUGAUGGGUGACCAAACUGUGUGCAUGAUAAUGUAGUUUACUCAAUGUCCAAUAGGUGGUGUCAUAGCUUUGGAAAUCAGUGCAUCACAUCAAGAGGUAUUGGCUAUUGAGUUACAUUUUCUACUGUACCAUCACAUACUUGUCUGUCAGGUUAAGCCUAAUUUUUUUAAACAUUCAUUUUAGUCAUUACAUUUCCUCAAAACUACACUAUUACCUUUGUUUGGGGAUUGGAAAUAAAAUGUAAUUGGACAUGGUAAGGUAAAUAUUUUCAAGAUCUGUAUGUCUGGUUUUUAGCAUAAAUGUAAUACUGUUUAGACAAAAUUGAAAACCUUGAGUAGCUACCUACAGCACGUGAUGUGGCUUCCCAAGACAAGAGUUAGGGAGUACUUCCUGUAGGUAUUCAGCAGUGAUGAGUCCUACCUGGCUGGUUCAGGACCAAGGAUGCAACUGCAUUGUAAGACACAGCUAAGCACACAGCUCAUUUAUCAACAAAGCCUGACAGACUGUUAUCAAAAUCGCAAAUAUGUUGGAAUAAGUAAAUGUUGCCAUAUUGUAAUGUAAUUAUGAACAUCUCACAAGAGCAGCAGCAUUGUGUUUUGCUAUAUAUAUAU